rnacentral:rRNA from 1 species
CCUACGGGGGGCUGCAGUGAGGAAUAUUGGUCAAUGGGCGAGAGCCUGAACCAGCCAUCCCGCGUGCAGGAUGACAGCCCUAUGGGUUGUAAACUGCUUUUCCACGCCAAGAAACGGCUCUACGUGUAGGGCACUGACGGUAGCGUGGGAAUAAGCAUCGGCUAACUCCGUGCCAGCAGCCGCGGUAAUACGGAGGAUGCAAGCGUUAUCCGGAUUCAUUGGGUUUAAAGGGUGCGCAGGCGGGCUUUUAAGUCAGUGGUGAAAAGCUGCCGCUUAACGGUAGUCUUGCCAUUGAUACUGAAGGUCUUGAGUUUGGAUGAGGUAGGCGGAAUGUGCAGUGUAGCGGUGAAAUGCAUAGAGAUUGCACAGAACACCGAUUGCGAAGGCAGCUUACUAAUCCACGACUGACGCUGAGGCACGAAAGCGUGGGGAUCAAACAGGAUUAGAUACCCUUGUAGUC